rnacentral:lncRNA from 9 species
UUUUUUUUUUUUUUUUUUUUGGUGCGGUUAAACCUAGAGAAUGGUCUAAACCUGUAUUUCUCACACAGCCUAGACACUCAUAUAACUGAAAAUUACAAGAGAGAUAUUACAGCCUGCCUUCCCUCAAGGUUCUUAUUGCCCCUCCCCGUCCCCCUUAUAAAACCUAAUAAUUUCCUCACCACCCUGUUUGAUGGGAGAAUCAAAGGGACCACUUGCAUUCCUUAUUCUGCAUGAUUUUUUUUUCUGGUCAACUGGAUUUGGUAAGUAGGAAUUAUUAUACAAUCAAGGACAGGAAGAUACUAUUACCAUUCUCCAGAUGCAUGUUAAGAAUGAAAUUAGAAAGGACUCCAAACUUGGGACAAAGAGAGAUAUUCUAAGCUACAAAUUUAUGCUACAGAUGUUCCACUUGAUGUCUAGCCACACGUUAGAAAAGACGCUGUGCUUGUGUGCUCUUUGGGAGAGGUAGUCGGCAUACAACCUAGGCUGUGUGUUUUAAGUCACUGGAUGGGGUCGACUUGAAUUCACAGGCCAGCAACUCCAAACACAUCAAUUUCAUCUGCAAGGCAACGUUGAGAAAGGCUCUCGUCAUCUGCAGAGAGACAAUGCACUUGACAGCACUCCUUGCUUGAGCAAUGACUCAAAUCGGGUAGCCUGGAAAUAAAUGUAGAGGGUACACAGCUGUCACAUAGCCCAAAGUAGUCCUCUGAGCAGCAACUGGAUUCAUUUCUCCCUGUCUGUACAACUGGUUCUGCAAAAAGGACUGCAAUCCAGCAAGGGCCUCCCUGCCCCACGGUGAAGGGUAGCUUUUCGUUGUCGAGGGAGGGCUCUGCUGGAUUCCUUUACACUCACAGGUGUGGGAAACUGCACAUAGCGAUUUCUUCAUUUUGUUUAAUGAGAAACCAUUAAACUCAAUGACCUAUGUGAACCAGCUACACAUAAGGCCCUAAAAUUAAAGCAUAUUAUUUUAUCAAUGUCGGCAUCAAAAUCUGAGGGACAGACACAUACCAGAUUUGUAGUCUUAGCCAAUUUUCACGGUGUAAAUAUUCUAACCAAGGCCAGUUUCAAGCCACCAACUGGACGUGGGGGCGACAAGAAAUGUGCAGCAGGUGCCUACCUGCACUCUGCAGGUACAGGAGACAGGCUAACUCCAAGAGAAGAAGCAACAGCAAAUGACGGUCAAAUAAUUAGGAAGUUAUGAGUGCUAUGUUUAUUUUAAUACUUUUAAGUUUGUAUAAUUUUUUUUUUUGGUCUUUUUGUCUUUUGCCUUUUCUAGGGCUGCUCUGGAGGCAUAUGGAGGUUCCCAGGUGGCCCUAAAAGGACAAACAAACAAACAAAAAAAUACCCACACACAAAAAAAACAAAAAUAAAAAAACCCUCGGUUUCCACAUUUAUAUC